rnacentral:tRNA from 1 species
GCCAGAGUAGUUCAGUGGUAGAACAGUCGCUUCGUAAGCGAUAAACGUGAGUUCGAUUCUCACCUCUGGCUCCA